ACACGACUACAUUAGAUACCCCUGUAGUCCAGGGUGUAAACGCUGCGGGCUUGGUGUUGGGGGUCCUUUGAGGGCGCCCAGUGCCGGAGAGAAGUUGUUAAGCCUGCUGCUUGGGAGUACGUCCGCAAGGAUGAAACUUAAAGGAGUUGGCGGGGGAGCACCGCAACGGGAGGAGCGUGCGGUUCAAUUGGAUUCAACGCCGGACAACUCACCAGGAGCGACGGUUACAUGAAGGCCAGGCUGAUGACCUUGCCUGAUUUUCCG
rnacentral:rRNA from 1 species